CUGGAUUUCCUGGUGUGAUUGGAUGUAUUGAUGGAACGCACAUAAAAAUUGUUGCGCCAAGAAUGGAAGAGAGAUUCAAAUACUUGAACCGGAAAGGCUUCAACAGUCUCAACGUAACGGUGAAUUAGAUAUAUAUCAUCACACCAUCAUGGAUCCGUUCACGACUCGUUGGUUUGGAAUACAAGUGAUUUGAAACAACACAUGAAAGAAAACUUUGACAAUGGCGAAAGAAAUACAUGGAUAUUAGGUGACGCAGGAUAUCCAUUGGAAAAAUUUUUAAUUACGCCAUUUAGAUCAGCUGACGAAGGCUCACCAGAGUGUAGAUUCAACAAAAUACAUUCAAAAACAAGAAAUAUAGUUGAACGAGCAAUUGGGGUGUUGAAGAACAGAUUACGUUGUAUAUUAGGAGCGAGACAAUUGCAUUACACCCCUGAUAUAUGUGGAAAAGUAACAGCAGUUUGUGCAGCAUUACACAAUAUUUCCAUACAUUUCAAAAUUGAAAUGCCGAUAGUUAGUGCAAACCCCGUACUUCAUGACAGAUUCAAAUGAUGUUGAAAUGAACGACGAUUUGAAUACAUUAGACAUAAGAUCAUCAAUAAUGCUAUAUUUAAGUAAUUAAUU